rnacentral:rRNA from 1 species
AAGGUAGCAUAAUAAAUUGACUUUUAAUUGAAGUCUAGAAUGAAAGGAUAUAUGAAUAUAUUCUGUCUUAAUUGAAUAUUUUUAAAUUACUUAAAAGGUGAAAAUUCUUUUUUAAUUUAAAAGACGAGAAGACCCUAGGAGUUUUUUUGUUGGGGUAACAUUAUAGCAUAUUACCUAUAUAAUAAAUUAUUAUAUAACGAUAAUUAUAAUUUAAUUUUAACUACCCUAGGGAUAACAGCAUAAAGUUUGUGACCUCGAUGUUGGAUUAGGGAUUUUAAUAUUAGCUAUAUUAAUUGGUUGUUUUGUUCAAACAUUUUACCU